GGGUGGUUAGCUCAGCGGUAGAGCACUGUCUUCACACGGCAGGGGUCGCUGGUUCGAACCCAGUACCACCCACCA
rnacentral:tRNA from 1 species